AAAGCAGGAGCAAUCUUGUGAGUAAAGUGGCGUACGGGUGAGUAACACGUGGAUCAUCUACCCUCUUGUGGGGGAUAACCCUGGGAAACCGGAGCUAAUACCGCAUAAGUCCGAGAGGAGAAAGCAGCAAUGCGCAGGAGGAGGAGUCCGCGGCCGAUUAGCUAGUUGGUAGGGUAAAAGCCUACCAAGGCUACGAUCGGUAGCCGGCCUGAGAGGGCACACGGCCACACUGGCACUGAAACACGGGCCAGACUCCUACGGGAGGCAGCAGUGGGGAAUCUUGCACAAUGGGGGCAACCCUGAUGCAGCGACGCCGCGUGAGCGAUGAAGCCCUUCGGGGUGUAAAGCUCUUUCGGCAGGGAAGAUUAUGACGGUACCUGCAGAAGCAGCUGCGGCUAACUACGUGCCAGCAGCCGCGGUAAUACGUAGGCAGCAAGCGUUGUUCGGAGUUACUGGGCGUAAAGGGUGUGUAGGCGGUUCUCUAAGUCUGGUGUGAAAUCUCCCGGCUCAACUGGGAGGGUGCGCCGAAAACUGGAGGGCUAGAGUGCGGGAUGGGAGAGUGGAAUUCCUGGUGUAGCGGUGAAAUGCGUAGAUAUCAGGAGGAACACCUGUGGUGUAGACGGCUCUCUGGACCGCAACUGACGCUGAAACACGAAAGCGUGGGUAGCAAACAGGAUUAGAUACCCUGGUAGUCCACGCCCUAAACGAUGCAUAUUUGGUGUGGGCCAUUCAUUUGGUCUGUGCCAGAGCUAACGCGUUAAAUAUGCCGCCUGGGGAGUACGGUCGCAAGGCUGAAACUC
rnacentral:rRNA from 1 species